UUUCCCUCCACAACGCUCUUUCGGCUGGUCUUGAACUGCUUCAGGGUGGCUGACAGAGUAACUGUGGAAAAGAACAGGAUCACUGACC